GCCUCCACCUCUAUAUAAGCCUGACUGGCUCUGGGGCUCAACACACACCUCUCAGAGUCACAACACGCACUCCCACACAACGCUCAAACUGACUGUCACUGCUGGACCUGCAGCUACAGUGGUCGCAGAGAAGAGAGAAGACAACGCUAGACUACUACCCUUACAGCACCGCACCUACAGGACCGCAGGACGUUAGCAGAUUCCUGGACACUGGAGGUUCCCUGCGCCGGCUCUAAACGAACUGCAAGACUCACAGUUUACCUUCAAGCAGGAGAUUCCUGGAUUCCUGGAAUUCUGCCGCAGCGGCACAAACUCACACGAGUCUGGAGCGGUACCCACUGGCUGUGCAAAACCAACACACACACUCGCUGAUCCACCAUAGAAUGAAACCGCGGAGGCUUUUGCUCCUGGCCCCACUCCUGCCUACCAUCUCUGAGUCCCUGGAGGACGUGGCCCCCCCUCAUCAGUCCCUGGACGAGUACGCCGCAUCAAUCAGAGCCCUGGCCCGGCCCCCGUCGGCCCUACCUGGACCAAUCAGGUCCCCCCGUGGGCCCCGCCCGCACACCAAGGCCAGACAUCAGAGCUCCGCCCCCCACAGGACUGUGCGGCCGCGUCAUGUUCCCAUCGCCCCUGGCAACAGAGACCCAGUGGACUGGCUGUUCACACAGACACAGGCCUGCACACACACACCCACACACACACACAGGGCUGAACAAGCCUGCACACACACACCCACACACACACACAGGGCUGAACAAGCCUGCACACACACAUUCACAUACCGCCACUCACAAGCAGAUACACAGCCUCGGACCCGGGCACAACGUACAGGUCACACAGACAACUUCUUACCUACACUCUGGAUGCUUUAACACACACACACACACACACACACCACACACUGGACUUUUCUUACUGUACUAUUUAUUGUGGAUGUUGAUAAUAAAAGCAGUCAAACCUCA